rnacentral:misc_RNA from 1 species
GAUGAAGAACGCAGCGAAAUGCGAUAAGUAAUGUGAAUUGCAGAAUUCAGUGAAUCAUCGAAUCUUUGAACGCACAUUGCGCCCGCCAGUAUUCUGGCGGGCAUGCCUGUUCGAGCGUCAUUACAACCCUCAGGCCCCCGGGCCUGGCGUUGGGGAUCGGCGGAAGCCCCCUGCGGGCACAACGCCGUCCCCCAAAUACAGUGGCGGUCCCGCCGCAGCUUCCAUUGCGUAGUAGCUAACACCUCGCAACUGGAGAGCGGCGCGGCCACGCCGUAAAACACCCAACUUCUGAAUGUUGACCUCGAAUCAGGUAGGAAUACCCGCUGAACUUGAGCAUAUCAAUAAGCGGAGGA